CUGUUUGGAUUUUUCUUCAGAUUUUGUUCUUCUUCCAGCAUCAUUGGGCCUAAUGAUGUCAAAUGAGUUGUUCUUGACAUUAGACUUUGACCUCACAUCCAUCCUCUUCAAGAUUUUGUUGAAUUGUCUUCCAAGUAACGCUAAAUCAUUUGCCAUAUCUUCAUCAGUAUCUUGACUACUUUCUUCCUUUUUAUCUUUAGUGU
rnacentral:lncRNA from 1 species